CUCCCUGUAGCUCAGUGGUUAGAGCAUUCAACUGAUAUCCAGAAGGUCACAGGUUCAAAUCCUGUCAGGCAGA